GGCGAUAAGUCAGAGGAAGGCGGGGGCAACGGUAGGUCAGUAUGCCCUGAAUCCUCCGGGCUACACGCGCGCUACAAAGGCUAGGACAAUGAGUUUCAACACCGAGAGGUGAAGGUAAUCUCGAAACCUAGUUAUAGUUCGGAUUGAGGGUUGAAACUCACCCUCAUGAAGCUGGAAUCCGUAGUAAUCGCAGAUCAACAUCCUGCGGUGAAUAUGCCCCUGCUCCUUGCACACACCGCCCGUCAAACCAUGCGAGUUGGGUUUGAGUGAGGAUGUAGUUUUUGCUACAUUCAAACUUAGGCUUAGUAAGCGGGGUUAAGUCGUAACAAGGUAACC
rnacentral:rRNA from 1 species